rnacentral:rRNA from 1 species
UACGUAGGGUGCGAGCGUUGUCCGGAAUUACUGGGCGUAAAGAGCUCGUAGGUGGUUUGUCGCGUUGUUCGUGAAAACUCACAACUCAAUUGUGGGCGUGCGGGCGAUACGGGCAGACUGGAGUACUGCAGGGGAGACUGGAGUUCCUGGUGUAGCGGUGAAAUGCGCAGAUAUCAGGAGGAACACCGGUGGCGAAGGCGGGUCUCUGGGCCGAUACUGACGCUGAGGAGCGAAAGCGUGGGGAGCGAACAGG